rnacentral:rRNA from 1 species
CUGAUUGAUGGUGCUUGCACCUGAUUGACGAUGGAUCACCAGUGAGUGGCGGACGGGUGAGUAACACGUAGGUAACCUGCCCCGGAGCGGGGGAUAACAUUUGGAAACAGAUGCUAAUACCGCAUAACAACAAAAGCCACAUGGCUUUUGUUUGAAAGAUGGCUUUGGCUAUCACUCUGGGAUGGACCUGCGGUGCAUUAGCUAGUUGGUAAGGUAACGGCUUACCAAGGCGAUGAUGCAUAGCCGAGUUGAGAGACUGAUCGGCCACAAUGGAACUGAGACACGGUCCAUACUCCUACGGGAGGCAGCAGUAGGGAAUCUUCCACAAUGGGCGCAAGCCUGAUGGAGCAACACCGCGUGAGUGAAGAAGGGUUUCGGCUCGUAAAGCUCUGUUGUUGGAGAAGAACGUGCGUGAGAGUAACUGUUCACGCAGUGACGGUAUCCAACCAGAAAGUCACGGCUAACUACGUGCCAGCAGCCGCGGUAAUACGUAGGUGGCAAGCGUUAUCCGGAUUUAUUGGGCGUAAAGCGAGCGCAGGCGGUUGCUUAGGUCUGAUGUGAAAGCCUUCGGCUUAACCGAAGAAGUGCAUCGGAAACCGGGCGACUUGAGUGCAGAAGAGGACAGUGGAACUCCAUGUGUAGCGGUGGAAUGCGUAGAUAUAUGGAAGAACACCAGUGGCGAAGGCGGCUGUCUGGUCUGCAACUGACGCUGAGGCUCGAAAGCAUGGGUAGCGAACAGGAUUAGAUACCCUGGUAGUCCAUGCCGUAAACGAUGAGUGCUAGGUGUUGGAGGGUUUCCGCCCUUCAGUGCCGGAGCUAACGCAUUAAGCACUCCGCCUGGGGAGUACGACCGCAAGGUUGAAACUCAAAGGAAUUGACGGGGGCCCGCACAAGCGGUGGAGCAUGUGGUUUAAUUCGAAGCUACGCGAAGAACCUUACCAGGUCUUGACAUCUUGCGCUAACCUUAGAGAUAAGGCGUUCCCUUCGGGGACGCAAUGACAGGUGGUGCAUGGUCGUCGUCAGCUCGUGUCGUGAGAUGUUGGGUUAAGUCCCGCAACGAGCGCAACCCUUGUUACUAGUUGCCAGCAUUAAGUUGGGCACUCUAGUGAGACUGCCGGUGACAAACCGGAGGAAGGUGGGGACGACGUCAGAUCAUCAUGCCCCUUAUGACCUGGGCUACACACGUGCUACAAUGGACGGUACAACGAGUCGCAAGCUCGCGAGAGUAAGCUAAUCUCUUAAAGCCGUUCUCAGUUCGGACUGUAGGCUGCAACUCGCCUACACGAAGUCGGAAUCGCUAGUAAUCGCGGAUCAGCAUGCCGCGGUGAAUACGUUCCCGGGCCUUGUACACACCGCCCGUCACACCAUGGGAGUUU